rnacentral:rRNA from 1 species
UACAGAGGGGGCAAGCGUUGUCCGGAUUUACUGGGCGUAAAGAGCGCGCAGGCGGUCGAUCAAGUCGAGUGUGAAAGCCCCCGGCUCAACUGGGGAGGGUCAUUCGAUACUGAUCGACUCGAAGGCAGGAGAGGGUAGUGGAAUUCCCGGUGUAGUGGUGAAAUGCGUAGAUAUCGGGAGGAACACCAGUGGCGAAGGCGACUACCUGGCCUGUUCUUGACGCUGAGGCGCGAAAGCUAGGGGAGCAAACGGG